GGGGAUAUAGUUUAAUAGUAGAACUAUUACGUUGCAUGUAAUAAAUUCGGAUGCGAAUUCCGAUAUCUCCA
rfam:Ceratocystis platani strain CFO contig_00003 mitochondrial, whole genome shotgun sequence.